UACGAAGGGGGCUAGCGUUGCUCGGAAUCACUGGGCGUAAAGGGUGCGUAGGCGGGUCUUUAAGUCAGGGGUGAAAUCCUGGAGCUCAACUCCAGAACUGCCUUUGAUACUGAGGAUCUUGAGUUCGGGAGAGGUGAGUGGAACUGCGAGUGUAGAGGUGAAAUUCGUAGAUAUUCGCAAGAACACCAGUGGCGAAGGCGGCUCACUGGCCCGAUACUGACGCUGAGGUGCGAAAGCGUGGGAGCAAACAGGG
rnacentral:rRNA from 1 species